rnacentral:sRNA from 1 species
ACAUAAGCCCAAACAUGGAGCAUAUUUGGAGUUGGUGGGCAAACCCAAAUCAUGAUGCAAGCCUGCGGUAGCAGGUGUGCAAUGAAGCACAACCAAAUUCUGUGAAUGGAAGGUAGCAAGACGCCUCUCCAAAGCAGCCCUUCUGCGCAGGAGCUGAAAGCUCCACUGGAAAGAAGACAUAGCUCAUCCAGCAAGCCGCCUUUGGCUGUUCCUCCCACAUCAGUAUUUUCCUUCUUCCCUUCUCUGUCCAAAAGCAAAGGAGGCAGUGCAAGUGGAAGUAACCGUUCUUCCAGUGGAGGUGUUCUUAGCGCAUCCUCAUCAAGUUCCAAGUUGUUGAAAUCACCCAAAGAGAAACUGCAGCUCAGGGGGAACACCAGGCCAAUGCAUCCCAUUCAGCAAAGUAGAGUUCCCCAUGGUAGAAUGUGAGUAUGGCCAAGAGGGUUUUUAAAGCUUACCUGCUGGAAAUGGAACUGCGUACACUAGUGGCAUGUGAGAGUGCCUGUGAAUAAUACAAAAGAGAGCCUACUUGGGGAAGAAUUCAAAUGUAUGUUGUAUUGUUUCUUGAUGUUUCCCUAUCAUGUCAUAGGAAGCUUUUUAGAGUAGUAAUAGCAGUGAUAAUAAGGUUACUAAUAUUUAUUGAUCUAUCCUUGUGUGCUAGCUACUGAAACGUAACUCUAUGUGUGUACUAUGUCACUUACCACAACAACCCUAUGGAAUAGGUACUGUUACUAUCCUCGUUUUCCAGAUGAGGAGAAGGAAGCUUCGUGAGGUGGGGGAGUUUUGUCCAAGAAGGCCUCAAGUCAUAUAGGCCUGGAUUUGUGUCCCAUUUCUGCCACUUCUUAGCUGUAGGGGUUUAGGCAAGGCACCGUUUCUCUCUAAGAAUAACAGCCACUAUGCUGGGUUAUUGAGAAUAUUUUA